rnacentral:rRNA from 1 species
AUUGAACGCUGGCGGCAGGCCAAACACAUGCAAGUCGAGCGAGCGGCGGACGGGUGAGUAAUGUCUGGGAAACUGCCUGAUGGAGGGGGAUAACUACUGGAAACGGUAGCUAAUACCGCAUACCAUCAGAUGGGCCCAGAUGGGAUUAGCGAGUAGGUGGGGUAACGGCGCACCUAGGCGACGAUCCCUAGCUGGUCUGAGGGGAAGACCAGCCCAACUGUACCUGAGCCACGGUCCCGACUCCUACGGGAGGCAGCAGUGGGUAAGAUUGCACAAUGGGCUCAAGCCUGAUGCAGCCAUGCCGCGUGUGUGAAGAAGGCCUUCGGGUUGUAAAGCACUUUCAGCGGGGAGGCGUUACCCGCAGAAGAAGCACCGGCUAACUCCGUGCCAGCAGCCGCGGUAAUAC